rnacentral:rRNA from 1 species
UACGUAGGCAGCAAGCGUUGUUCGGAGUUACUGGGCGUAAAGGGUGUGUAGGCGGUCUUCUAAGUCUGGUGUGAAAUCUCCCGGCUCAACUGGGAGGGUGCGCCGAAAACUGGAAGGCUAGAGUGCGGGAUGGGAGAGUGGAAUUCCUGGUGUAGCGGUGAAAUGCGUAGAUAUCAGGAGGAACACCUGUGGUGUAGACGGCGCUCUGGACCGCAACUGACGCUGAGACACGAAAGCGUGGGUAGCAAACAGG